UUAUCGUUGGGCUUCGGCCCAUUCGAGAUAACACCCUUGCCUUUUUGAGUACCUUUUCGUUUCCUCGGCAGGCUCGCCUGCCAACGGGGACCCCAAAAACGCUUUGUAAUACCUGUCAUUGUCUGAUAUAACAAGCAAAAAUCAAAACUUUCAACAACGGAUCUCUUGGUUCUGGCAUCGAUGAAGAACGCAGCGAAAUGCGAUAAGUAGUGUGAAUUGCAGAAUUCAGUGAAUCAUCGAAUCUUUGAACGCACAUUGCGCCCUUUGGUAUUCCUUAGGGCAUGCCUGUUCGAGCGUCAUUUAAACCUUCAAGCUCAGCUUGGUGAUGGGUGACUGUCCUCCCCUCGCGGGGGGACUCGCCUCAAAAACAUUGGCGGCCGGUACAUUGGCUUCGAGCGCAGCAGAAACGCGGUCUCGAGCCCGGUGGAUCGGCUCCCAUAAGCCUCAUUCUUUUAUUUUGACCUCGGAUCAGGUAGGGAUACCCGCUGAACUUAAGCAUAUCAAUAAGCGGAGGAAAAGAAACCAACAGGGAUUGCCCUAGUAACGGCGAGUGAAGCGGCAACAGCUCAAAUUUGAAAUCUGGCCCUUUCAGGGUCCGAGUUGUAAUUUGUAGAGGGUGCUUUGGCGUUGGCUGUGGUCUAAGUUCCUUGGAACAGGACGUCGCA
rnacentral:rRNA from 1 species